rnacentral:rRNA from 1 species
UACGUAUGGUCCGAGCGUUGUCCGGAAUGACUGGGUGUAAAGGGUGCGUAGGUGGACUUUUAAGUCAGGUGUGAAAUCCCCGGGCUCAACCUGGGAACUGCGCUUGAAACUGGAAGUCUGGAGUGGGUAAGAGGUAAGCGGAAUUCCCGGAGUAGCGGUGAAAUGCGUAGAGAUCGGGAAGAACAUCUGUGGCGAAGGCGGCUUACUGGUACUUAACUGACACUGAGGCACGAAAGCGUGGGGAGCAAACAGG